GCUGGGUGUGGUGGCUCAUGCCUGUAAUUCCAGCAACUUGAGAAGCUGAGACAGGAGGAUCAUGAGUUCAAAGCCAGCCUCAGCAACUCAGCAAGGACCUCAGCAACUUAGCAAGACCCUGUCUCUA
rnacentral:sRNA from 1 species